rnacentral:rRNA from 1 species
CCUACGUGUGGCAGCAGUGAGGAAUAUUGGUCAAUGGGCGCGAGCCUGAACCAGCCAUGUCGCGUGAAGGAUGACUGCCCUACGGGUUGUAAACUUCUUUUAUACAGGAGUAAAGUGAGGCACGUGUGCCUUUUUGUAUGUACUUUACGAAUAAGGAUCGGCUAACUCCGUGCCAGCAGCCGCGGUAAUACGGAGGAUCCGAGCGUUAUCCGGAUUUAUUGGGUUUAAAGGGAGCGUAGAUGGUUUGUUAAGUCAGUUGUGAAAGUUUGCGGCUCAACCGUGGAAUUGCAAUUGAUACUGGCAGUCUAGAGUACAGUUGAGGUAGGCGGAAUUCGUGGUGUAGCGGUGAAAUGCUUAGUGAUCACGAAGAACACCGAUUGCGAAGGCAGCUUACUAAACUGCCACUGACAUUGAUGCUCGAAAGUGUGGGUAUCAAACAGGAUUAGAUACCCUAGUAGUC